GACGAACGCUGGCGGCGUGCUUAACACAUGCAAGUCGAACGAUGAAGCCCUUCGGGGUGGAUUAGUGGCGAGCGGGUGAGUAACACGUGGGCAAUCUGCCCUUCACUCUGGGACAAGCCUUGGAAACGAGGUCUAAUACCGGAUAACACUCCCAUUCUCCUGGAUGGGGGUUAAAAGCUCCGGCGGUGAAGGAUGAGCCCGCGGCCUAUCAGCUUGUUGGUGAGGUAAUGGCUCACCAAGGCGACGACGGGUAGCCGGCCUGAGAGGGCGACCGGCCACACUGGGACUGAGACACGGCCCAGACUCCUACGGGAGGCAGCAGUGGGGAUAUUGCACAAUGGGCGAAAGCCUGAUGCAGCGACGCCGCGUGA
rnacentral:rRNA from 1 species